rnacentral:rRNA from 1 species
CCUACGGGAGGCUGCAGUGAGGAAUAUUGGUCAAUGGACGAGAGUCUGAACCAGCCAAGUAGCGUGAAGGAUGACUGCCCUAUGGGUUGUAAACUUCUUUUAUAUGGGAAUAAAAUGUUCCACGUGUGGGAUUUUGUAUGUACCAUAUGAAUAAGGAUCGGCUAACUCCGUGCCAGCAGCCGCGGUAAUACGGAGGAUCCGAGCGUUAUCCGGAUUUAUUGGGUUUAAAGGGAGCGUAGGUGGAUUGUUAAGUCAGUUGUGAAAGUUUGCGGCUCAACCGUAAAAUUGCAGUUGAAACUGGCAGUCUUGAGUACAGUAGAGGUGGGCGGAAUUCGUGGUGUAGCGGUGAAAUGCUUAGAUAUCACGAAGAAAUCCGAUUGCGAAGGCAGUUCACUGGACUGCAACUGACACUGAGGCUCGAAAGUGUGGGUAUCAAACAGGAUUAGAUACCCGUGUAGUC